GACAGAGGUGCCAAGCGUUAGGCGGAAUCACUGGGCUUAAAGCGCGUGUAGGCGGUCCGGUAAGUCCGCUGUGAAAGUCGGGGCUCAACCCUCGGAUGCCGGUGGAUACUGUCGGGCUUGAGUACGGAAGAGGCGAGUGGAAUUCCGUGGUGUAGCGGUGAAAUGCGCAGAUAUCAGGAGGACACCAAUUGCGAAGGCGGACUCACUGGACUGGUACUGACGCUGAGGC
rnacentral:rRNA from 1 species